ensembl:lncRNA
UAUAUGCAUACAUACAGUACUUAUAUAUAUGAUUUACUAUUGAUAUAUUAUUGAAAUAUAAAUAUUUAAAUAUACUAUAUUAUGUGAAUGAAUUAUGUAUUUAAAUAUUAAACAAAUGCAACAAUACUCGAGGAAGCCAUUCAUAAUACAAAAUAAUAUCUAUAAGAGCGCGUGCCACUAUUGGAUGUGACGUCACAGGCCAGUGCUUUUAGAGGGCUCGUCUUGCAAUGCUUGUUUAUAUUCAAAUGUUUAGAAUGUUUAUAUUCAACGGUUUGCAAUGUUUAUUUUCAAAGGGUUAGGAAGUUUACCUAAAGCCAGUCAGAGCAGUCCGAGUUCUAAAGCUCUCAAAUUCUGAAUUCGCACGUGCGAUUUUUACUCUGAGACCAUUUUCUACACUACGAUCAUCUCCAAAACCGAGUCUUUCGACCAUCAUGCCUGCACCACUUGUGCCUUCUCAGUGAUGAUCUUUAGUUGGGACGAAGCGCCGCAGCUCCAGGAGGACGAGCCUGAGACCGGAGUGAACGGACUGCCUGAUCUGCCUGACAGCAACGGCACAUGGAGGGAGGAAACUGUGGAGGAUGAGCAUGGGGAGAGGAGGAGACGGGGGGAGCAGGUGACUGAUGAAGAGGAUGACAUUGAAGAGUCCCCUCCCAGAAGAAGACAGUGUGUGGAGCAUGAGGAUGCUGACGAUGAGCCAAUUGAUUUCGCUAGUUUGGAGAGGAACUCGUCCCCUUUGUGGCGCUUAUCCCCUACUUUGGUGUUCGUUCCAUCUGCAGAUGCUCCCUCCAGCAGUGAGCAUUUCUGGUGGAUGAUGAUGAUGAGGGAGCAGAUGAACGAUGAAGAGGACAGUGAUGAAGAGGCCCCUCCUAGAAGAAGGCAGCAUGUGGAGCAGGAAGAUGACGACUAUGAGGUGUCUGAGCUCAGUAAUUCGGAGAGUAGCUCACCCCCUUUGUGGAGCUUAUUCCCAGCUUUGGAGUGUAUCCACAACAUGCAAGAGCACUCCAGCAGUGAGCAUUUCUGUGGGAGGAGGAGACGGAGGGAGCAGAUGACUGAAGAAGAUGACAGUGAUGAAGAGGCCCCUCCCAAAAGAAGACUGCGUGCGGAACGAGAGUAUGAUGAAGAUUGAGGUGUCUGAGCACACUUAUUUGGAGAGGAGCUCAUAGUAAGCCAUAACAUUAAAACCACUGACAGUUGAAGUGAAUAACAUUGAUUAUCUUAUUACAGUGGCAACUGUCAAGGGGUUCACUGAUGCUCACAUGCCCAUUGUAGGCAUUUUCGGUAGGUGACAGGGGUCAGCAUGGACACGCUGACCGGUCUGCGGCUAUAUAGCUCUUCUGUGAAUUUGGACCGGACGGCCUAGCCUUCGCUCCACAAGCAUCCGUGAGCCUUGUCGAUGGUUCACUAAUUGUCUUUCCAUGGACCACUUAACCACUGCAUAACAGGAGCACCUGAGAAGACCUGCCAUUUUGGAGAUGCUCUGACCCAAUCGUCUAGCCAUUACAAGUUGGCCCUUUUCCUGCUUCCAACACAUCAACUUGCUGUCUAAUAUAUCCCAAUGAAUAUCUCAUUACAAAGUCAAACCACUGUAAUGAGAUAUUCAAUGUCCGUCCUGUCCCGUCCCGUCAACCAGUCUGUAUGUUUGUAUACACCUGAUUUCAAAUCCCAAUUGUAAAAUAUAAAAUCUGUAAUGUCAAAAUCUACAUCAUCAAUUGCUACAUAGGCUAAAGACUUAGCUCAUACCUGUGUUAAAUGCAUAGGCUUUGUACAGUAGGAUUUGUAUUGUGUAUUCAGAGUAUAUGCAUUACUAUAAUGUAUAGUUAUUAAAUGUAUAUAUAUUAAAUGUGUAGGCUAGACAUAUUAGUGCUAAAGUGUGUGAUGUAUAUUUUAUGUUUAUUAAAUACAAUACUUUUUAUCAAUUAAUUGCUUUCUUGCAUUUUGUUUAAAUAAACAUCCCAAUAAUCAGAAAUAAUCAAUAAAUGACAAUUAUUUUUUAGUGC